rnacentral:rRNA from 1 species
CCUACGGUGGGCAGCAGUGGGGAAUAUUGCACAAUGGGGGAAACCCUGAUGCAGCGACGCCGCGUGAGUGAGGAAGUAUUUCGGUAUGUAAAGCUCUAUCAGCCGGGGAGAAAGAGCAAUUUGACGGUACCUGAAGAAUAAGCUCCGGCUAACUACGUGCCAGCAGCCGCGGUAAUACGUAGGGAACGAGCGUUAUCCGGAAUUAUUGGGUGUAAAGGGUGCGUAGAUGGCCUAGUAAGUCGUUGGUAAAAAGGCUGGGCUCAACCCAGGAGGGCAAAAGCUACUGCAGAGCUAGAGUUGGACAGAGGGAAGGGGAACUACAGGUGUAGCGGUAAAAUGCGUAAAUAUAUGGAAGAACCCCAGUGGCGAAGGCGGCGUGCUGGGUCAACACUGACACUGAGGCACGAAAGCGUGGGGAGCAAACAGGAUUAGAUACCCUUGUAGUC